GACGAACGCUGGCGGCGUGCUUAACACAUGCAAGUCGAACGAAGUGGCGAACGGGUGAGUAACGCGUAAUCAACCUGCCCUUCAGAGGGGGACAACAGUUGGAAACGACUGCUAAUACCGCAUACUGAAGGAGGGGAUUGCGUCUGAUUAGCUAGUUGGAGGGGUAACGGCCCACCAAGGCGAUGAUCAGUAGCCGGUCUGAGGGGAUGAACGGCCACAAUGGGACUGAGACACGGCCCAGACUCCGACGGGGGGCAGCAGUGGGGAAUCGUGCGCAAUGGACGGAAGUCUGACGGAGCAACGCCGCGUGAGGGAUGACGGCCGUCGGGUUGUAAAGCUCUGUUAAUCGGGACGCGGUACCGGAAUAGAAAGCCACGGCUAACUACGUGCCAGCAGCCGCGGUAAUUC
rnacentral:rRNA from 1 species